GGUACUCACAAGGCUACAUUCCUGCUGGAGGCUUCAAGGGAGAAUUCAUUGCCUUGCCUUUUCCAGCCUCUGGGAUGCCAUUACUUGGCUCAUGGCUCCUUUUUGCAUCUUCAAGGCCAACAAUGUAGCAUCUUUAAAUCUCUCUGCUCUGUCUUCACACUGCCUUCCUCUCUGUGUGGUAAAGUCUCCCUCUGUCCUUUUAUAAGGAUACUUGGAAUUGCAUUUAGGACUUAUCAGAUAGUUUAGGAUAAUCUCCUCCGUCUUAAGGUCCUCAACUCAAUCACAUCUGCGGAGUCUCUUGCUCUAGCAGGUAAUAUAUAAGGUAGCAUUCACAGAUCCCAGGGAUUAGGACAUGGGCAUCUCUGAGGACCAUUAUCUGGCCAACCACACAGGGAAGUAUCAUCUCUCCAUUUUUACCAUGUCAUCCUCAGAACCUGCCUUUGUGACACAUCAUAAAUGGCACCACAAGCUGCCCAGUUGUUUAGCACCUCUCUGCGAUGUUUCUCACAUUGUGAGGGAAGGUUGAUGGAUGCAGUGGGAGAAAUGUGCUUAAAGGAUAGAUGACUUAAGAUUUGUUUCAUCAAAUUGUCAUUUACCUCCAGCAGUAAUGAAGACUAAAAUGGAUAGGCAGAAAAAUAUCAGUGCAGUGUGGGAUCUUGGAUUGGAUCCUGGAAUGGCAAAUGAACGUUAGUGGCAAAACUGAUGAAUUCCAAUUAUAAGCCUAUAGUUUGGUUAUCAGUACAAUAUUAAGUUUGUUUCAGUAGUUGUAUCAUGGUUACCUGCAACAUGUUAAUAUGAGGGGAAGCUGGGUGCCGGAUAUACAGGAAUCUGUAUUAACUUUGCAACUGUGCUAUAAAUCUAAAAUUGUUUUAAAAUAGUUAAAAAGAAUACAAGGUACCCACUUAGGUAGCAGAGAAAAAGCUCCAAAUUUCUUAUGUUUAUGUGACAUGGGAGACAGGGUUCUGUGUUGGCAGAAUGAGUUUAGAUCUGGAAGGUAAUGAUGAAGUUUAAAAAAAUGCAGACCCAUUAAAGUAUAAAUGGAAACUCUAAUGGUUGUGAGACAAAUCAGAUGGUGUUGGUUAUCUCUAUGGGGAUGUAGGAACCAGGUCUCCAUCCAAGGUCUCCCAGGUGGGCUGGGCUGAGGGUGGUCCCUGGGCAUGAAUGGAGAGGGAGCCCUGCCCUCAGUCUCUUGAUUGAUUUGUCAACACCUCCCCAGCCCUCCUCCCUCCCCUCCACUGCCCUGCUCUCUUCCUGGCCCAUUCUGGGCUCAGCCUGUUAAGGGCUCCCCAGUGGCUGCUGGCUCACAGCUGAGUCGUUAUCUUCUCGUCACACACUUAUCUGGGCAUGGUUAGAGCUCCGUAAUAAAAUUUGUCACUGACUUUAAUCCCAUCACUGUCCAGACCCGGUUGAUUAGUCCCUCUGGUUGUUUUGGCUGAGUUCUGUACCUCCAGCCUCUUCUAGGAAAUUGGUUGAGAUGGAAGUUCAGAGCUCUCUCUUGGCCUUAUAAAAAGAGAGCAGAGGGGGCUGGGUGCACGGUGGCUCACACCUGUAAUCCCAGCACUUUGGGAGACCAAGGCAGGCGGGUCACCAGGUCAAGAGAUUGAGACCAUCCUGGCCAAUGUGGUGAAACCCUGUCUCUACUAAAAAUACAAAGAUGAGCUGGGAGUGGUGGCACAUACCUGCAGUCCCAGCUACUCGGGAGGCUGAGGCAGGAGAAUCGCUUGAACCCAGGAGGCGGAGGUUGCAGUGAGCCGAGACUGCACCACUGCACUCCAGCCUGGGUGACAGAGUGAGACUCCAUCUC